UUAAGCCAACGUCCAUGUUUAAGGCUCUCUAUUUCACUUGAACACCACAUGUUGAUAAUUGCCAAAGGGUCUCACCUAGAUUAACCAUGGUCAUGCCUCGACUUGGGCAACUGUACAACGAUCAUGGUGGGUGAAAAUUGGAUGCUGCUCUAAAACGUGGAGCAGCAGCCACUUGACUGGAAAAAAUAACACCCAGGGAAGCUGAACGAGCUAUGACAACGAGUAUCACAGCUCCAUGAAGUUGGCGACUUUGUAUCCAUGGAGAACGCGCUACAUGGAAAAACUCACGACUGUGUUGCAAGAAGCCUGUGGAUUCCACCAAUAUGAAGGUGUGACAUGGAUUGAGGAUGUCAUUUUAUAACUGCCCCAGAAAACGCCAUCCCUGGACCCAGCAUUUUGUAUGUGGAGAAUCAUUGUACCAGAGUAUGGAUAAAUGAUAUACACUAUAGAACGCAGCAGUAAUUGUAUUUGAUCACCACAGAAAUUACUGUGAUGACUAAAAAGGCAUGUGCAUGGGGGUCUAUGUCCAUAAGCAGUUGCUUCAGCCUACUCCUUUUGUGCCAUGUAUGCGUUUAUGUAAUAAUGUAAACUAUUCAAACAUUUAGGUUAACUUGGGCAGAGCACAGUAUCCAAUAAAAAUAUUUGUGGCUGUUUUUUGUAGUAAAAAAACAACUUUUUUUGAAGGAAUACUAAAUGUACAGUAGCUUUUUGGUAUUAGUGUAAAUGUAUGACUCUUUCGAAAUGUUCUCUUGUUAGUCAUGCCAUAUUUCUUGUUGGCUAUUGGCAUUCUCUCCAGCACAAAACUCCCUAAGCUGGGGGGGUCUUCUUUAAAAAUAUAUAUUUUAUAUAAAUUUAUAUAUAUA